GGAGGAAAGCAGGGGAUCGCAAGACCUUGCGCUCAUUGAGCGGCCGAUGCCUGAUUAGCUAGUUGGUGAGGUAAAGGCUUACCAAGGCGACGAUCAGUAGCUGGUCUGAGAGGUCGACCAGCCACACUGGAAUUGAGACACGGCCCAGACUCCUACGGGAGGCAGCAGUGGGGAAUUUUGGACAAUGGGGGAAACCCUGAUCCAGCCAUGCCGCGUGAGUGAAGAAGGCCUUCGGGUUGUAAAGCUCUUUCAGCCGGAACGAAACGGUCACGGCUAAUACCUGUGACUACUGACGGUACCGGAAGAAGAAGCACCGGCUAACUACGUGCCAGCAGCCGCGGUAAUACGUAGGGUGCGAGCGUUAAUCGGAAUUACUGGGCGUAAAGCGUGCGCAGGCGGUUUUGUAAGUCAGAAGGGAAAUCCCCGGGCUUAACCUGGGAACUGCGUUGUUAAAACGAAGCUAGAAGGGC
rnacentral:rRNA from 1 species